ACGGAAGGCAGCAGUGAGGAAUAUUGGUCAAUGGGCGGAAGCCUGAACCAGCCAUGCCGCGUGAAGGAAGACGGCCCUAUGGGUUGUAAACUUCUUUUGUAGUGGAGCAAUAAGGUCUACGUGUAGAUCGAUGAGAGUACAUUACGAAUAAGCAUCGGCUAACUCCGUGCCAGCAGCCGCGGUAAUACGGAGGAUGCAAGCGUUAUCCGGAUUUAUUGGGUUUAAAGGGUGCGUAGGCUGUCUGGUAAGUCAGGGGUGAAAGCCCAGUGCUCAACACUGGAACUGCCUUUGAUACUGUCAGGCUGGAAUACUGUUGCCGUGGGAGGAAUGAGUAGUGUAGCGGUGAAAUGCAUAGAUAUUACUCAGAACACCGAUUGCGAAGGCAUCUCACGAAUCCGUCAUUGACGCUGAGGCACGAAAGCGUGGGGAUCAAACAGGAUUAGAUACCCUGGUA
rnacentral:rRNA from 1 species